rnacentral:rRNA from 1 species
UUCCGGUUGAUCCCGCCGGAGGUCACUGCUAUUGGGAUUCGACUAAGCCAUGCGAGUCGAGAGGGUUCGGCCCUCGGCAGACGGCUCAGUAACACGUGGAUAAUCUGCCCUUAGGUGGAGGAUAACCUCGGGAAACUGAGAAUAAUACUCCAUAGAUCUAGGAUGCUGGAAUGCAUCUAGGUUGAAAGUUCCGGCGCCUAAGGAUGAGUCUGCGGACUAUCAGGCUGUAGUCAGGGUAAAGACCUGACUAACCUACGACGGAUACGGGUUGUGAGAGCAAUAACCCGGAGACGAUAUCUGAGACACGAUAUCGGGCCCUACGGGGCGCAGCAGGCGCGAAACCUUCACACUGUGCGAAAGCGCGAUGAGGGGAUCCCAAGUGCUUGCACGUAAGUGUAAGCUGUUUCUGUGUCUAAAAAGCAUAGAGAGUAAGGGCUGGGUAAGACGGGUGCCAGCCGCCGCGGUAAUACCUGCAGCUCAAGUGGUGACCGCUAUUAUUGGGCCUAAAACGUCCGUAGCCGGUUUAGUAAAUGCCUGGGUAAAUCGUGUAGCUUAACUAUACGAAUUCCGGGUAGACUGCUAAACUUGAGACCGGGAGAGGCUAGAGGUACUUCUGGGGUAGAGGUGAAAUUCUGUAAUCCUAGGGGGACCACCAGUGGCGAAGGCGUCUAGCUAGAACGGGUCUGACGGUGAGGGACGAAGCCCUGGGGCGCAAACCGGAUUAGAUACCCGGGUAGUCCAGGGUGUAAACGCUGCUUGCUUGAUGUUAGUCGGGCUCUGAGCCCGAUUAGUGUCGGAGAGAAGUUGUUAAGCAAGCUGCCUGGGAAGUACGGUCGCAAGGCUGAAACUUAAAGGAAUUGGCGGGGGAGCACAGCAACGGGUGGAGCGUGCGGUUUAAUUGGAUUCAACGCCGGAAAUCACUAGUGCGGCCGCCUGCAGGUCGACCAUAU